rnacentral:rRNA from 1 species
UACGAGUGCCUCAGCGUUAUCCGGAAUGCUUGGGCGUAAAGCGUCCGCAGGUGGCUGUGUAAGUCUGCUGUCAAAGAGCGAAGCUCAACUUCGUAAAGGCAGUGGAAACUACACGGCUAGAGUGCGUUCGGGGCAGAGGGAAUUCCUGGUGUAGCGGUGAAAUGCGUAGAGAUCAGGAAGAACACCGGUGGCGAAGGCGCUCUGCUAGGCCGCAACUGACACUGAGGGACGAAAGCUAGGGGAGCGAAUGGG